rnacentral:rRNA from 1 species
UGUAUUUAUUAGAUUAAAAACCAGUGCCCUUCGGGGCUCUCUGGUGAUUCAUGAUAACUCCUCGAAUCGCAUGGCCUUGCGCCGGCGAUGGUUCAUUCAAAUUUCUUCCCUAUCAACUUUCGAUGUUUGGGUAUUGGUCAAACAUGGUUGCAACGGGUAACGGAAGGUUAGGGCUCGACCCCGGAGAAGGAGCCUGAUAAACGGCUACUACUUCCAAGGAAGGCAGCAGGCGCGCAAAUUACCCAACCCCGACCCGGGGAGGUAGUGACAAUAAAUACUGAUACAGGGCUUUUUUGGGUCUUGUAUUUGGAAUGACUACAAUUUAAAUCCCUUAACUAGGAACAAUUGGAGGGCAAGUAUGGUGCCAGCAGCCCCGGUAAUUCCCUCUCCUAUAGCGUAUAUUAAAUUUGUUGUGUUUAA